UACGGAGGGUGCAAGCGUUAUCCGGAUUCACUGGGUUUAAAGGGUGCGUAGGUGGGUUGGUAAGUCAGUGGUGAAAUCUCCGGGCUUAACCUGGAAACUGCCAUUGAUACUAUCAAUCUUGAAUACCUUGGAGGUGAGCGGAAUAUGUCAUGUAGCGGUGAAAUGCUUAGAUAUGACAUAGAACACCAAUUGCGAAGGCAGCUCACUACACGGUCAUUGACACUGAGGCACGAAAGCGUGGGAUCAAACAGG
rnacentral:rRNA from 1 species